rnacentral:rRNA from 1 species
UUUACAUAGAGUUUGAUCCUGGCUCAGGACGAACGCUGGCGGUGCGCCUAAUGCAUGCAAGUCGAACGGGCGAAGGGGCUUCGGCCCCCUAGCUAGUGGCAGACGGCUGAGUAACACGUAAGUGACCUACCCCGAAGCGGGGGAUAAACUCGAGAAAUCGGGUCUAAUACCCCGUAAGUUCUUCGCACUUCGAUGCGAAGUAGAAAGGUUUCGACCGCUUUGGGAGGGGCUUGCGGCCUAUCAGGUAGUUGGUGGGGUAAUGGCCUACCAAGCCUCAGACGGGUAACCGGUGUGAGAGCACGAUCGGUCAGAGGGGGACUGAGACACGGCCCCCACUCCUACGGGAGGCAGCAGCAGGGAAUCUUGCGCAAUGGGCGAAAGCCUGACGCAGCGACACCGCGUGGGGGAAGAAUGCUUUCGAGUUGUAAACCCCUUUUCCCGGGGAAGAGAACGGACGGUACCCGGGGAAUAAGGUUCGGCUAACUACGUGCCAGCAGCCGCGGUAAUACGUAGGAACCGAGCGUUGUCCGGAUUUACUGGGCGUAAAGUGCGCGUAGGCGGUCUGUUAAGUCUCAUGUGAAAUCUCCCGGCUCAACUGGGAGGGGUCAUGGGAAACUGGCAGGCUUGAGGGCAG